GUUUAGUUAAUAAGCAGUCUAAAGCUUGGCCUAUACAUUAUAGAACCAAUUAUUGUUCUGAGAAAAAGAUAAGCUCACAUAGCAGACUAGAAGUGUGUGCUUAGAAACACUGACAGUGGCAUGCAUACAUAAUAAGAUUACAGAAGAUACUGCACAUUAUUUUAGUUUUCUAAUUUAUUAAAUAAUAAAAAUAUAAUUUUUAGUAACAUCAGAUGUACUCAAGUAAAUUUCUUUUCGUGAGCUUUUUAAACAUUGUUCAGCACAUUAGUAAUGGAAAGAUACCAACCACAUUCCUAAAGCUUGAAGGGACUUUAAAAAUAAUAAUGGAUAUUACAUGGUGGAAUUUUCUUACAGUUUGUAAACUUUAGGUGGGAAUAUUUAUGUCAUGAGUAAAAUAUCAGUAACAAUGAGAGGGCAAUAUCUUAUAAUUAAUUUCCUUACUCGGACAACCAAAGGACAAAUGCUGUUACUUCAUUGUGUUAUUGCUAUAUUGUGUUUUUUUUUUUUUAUGAUUUUCUCUUCUAGCUUUGGAAAAUAGGAGUCCCAUAUGUUUACCCAAGACUGUGCAGGGAUAUUUAUGGACAGCAUGCAAUUCUGACAGUGAUGAUACCAGCAAACCUCUCUAAGAUAGAAUGUCAGUUUGAGUUAAUCAGCAUGUUAAAAUACAUUAGGAUUUAUCUUGAUUAGGAAAAUAGCAAUCAAAGCAUUCAAAUCUUUUCACUUGUUGAGACAGAUGGCCUAUCUUUAUGAAGGCAAAUAUCCAAAAACAACAACCCACUACCUUAUCUUUCAAAAUAUGGUGCUCAGAAUCAUCUUGGGGAAGAGCUAUUUAAGCCUAAUAAAGCCAUAUGCUCAAUGAAUUGAUUUAUUCUGUGCUGCGGUAUAGACACAAACUGCUUCUUUGCUAUGCCUUUAUGAUAUCUGCAUUCUCAGGGACUCAUUUGUGAAAAUUAACAAAGAUUCAAAAUCCUAAAUUGAGAUGGAGAAUUCAGCAUUCAGAUUGAAAAAGAAACAUUAAAUAUAUUUAAGCGAAUGGCCUCUGAUUUACCAGCGAUCAUCCCCAAAGAGUUCACAGUGUGUUUGAAGAUCAGAUAAACUGACAGCCUCCCUGGUGUACACAAAGCAGGUCUAAAAUUAUUCCAGAAAGUAUUCCUGGGAGGAAGGCAGUUUGCCUGCCAUUCUUACUUAUGUAAGCUAGAGAUUGACCAUGAGACUGGCAGAAAUAUAUUUUUGAGCUCUACUUUUUAAUUACAUACUUUAGGGAGUCCAUUUUAAACUUUCAUAUAUGUAAGGUACAUUUCAGAACACAUAUCUAGUAUUGCAAUGGAUGUUCAACAUAAUAUUCAGCAAGAAGCUUCCUGUAUUCAUGAUGCAAUGGAGACCCAGCCAAUAAACUCAAUCCAGAAAGUGAUACAGAAAAAAUAAAGCUCAAAGUUAGAUGGGUAUUUUUGAAUAAAUAUAUAUAUAUAAUUGUUUUCCUUUGAGAAAUUUCAUAAUAGUGCAAAUUCUUUGAGAAAGAACAUGAGUUUUCUGUUUAUAUGUAGGCACAGUCCAAACUGAGUUUGGGGUUUUGCUUAUCUGGGUGAUAUAGAACAGGUUCCUUAAAUACUAGAAGGUUAGGACAAUAUGAUAAAUAAAAUAAGCCAAACUACAGUAAAUUUAUAUGAAAAAAAUCUCAACAGUUAACUUAUUCUUGCAUAAGUAAACUCUAUCACCUUACUUGGGCACAUUCAUUCAUUAACUGAAGGAGAUGGACCAUCAUUCCCAGAGCUCAAGAGCAUGAUCAAAAUUAUGAGAUUUCAAAAUGCAGUAUUUGCUAACCCACUGUGACCUAGUAUACGUGCAUGUAAUAAUCAGAAGUAACAGCACCAGCUUAAAAAUAUUACCACCAGGCCCCAGGAGAUUUGAAGAAAUCUAAGUUAUACAAUGUUCUAGAAAACAUUAGUAGAACACUAUAUCAGAGUGUCAAUCAUUAUGAAAGCUCUGGCAAUUCCAUCAAGAAGAAUCCUCCGUGCCCAGAACACAUGUGAGGUCAUCGGGAAGUAAGAGUUCCACCUUUCAGUUGCCAGAUGAUCUGUUUAUCAUACCUACAUCUUCAUAAUAUCAUUGUCAUCCUUCCUAUGUUAUGACUGAACUACUACUCAAAGUAUGUGUGCGCGCACGUGCGUGUAUGCAUGCGCGUGCGUGUGCAUGUAGGAAGGAAUGAAAGACAAAAGGGUAAAGCCAGAAAAGCGUUUACUACUUCCAUGGGAGUACUUUCUAGGAGACACUGUUAUGGCUGCCCAUAGAAAUGCUUUCUACAUUUUGGUACCUAAAUCUUCAGCUACCACACACUGAGUAUAGAUAAUUGGAGGGUUCACAUGGAAGUUAUACUGAAAUUGUACUUAGCUAUUUGAGUUCAAGGGGGCUUUUAGAGUCCUCAAAGCCCCUGCACCUGGACCAAAUAUCUUCCUAGAAAACAGGCUCGGAGAGGUGCAGCAGAACCACAGGAAAUGACUAAGAGGUGAUUUUAACAAUGUUUCUUAAAGUGGGGUCUCCAUAGUUCUGGCACUGUUGUCAAAGAGAACAAAUGGAAGGCAAGUGGAGCCUGGGACAGUUGGAUUGCAUUCCUACACUGCAAUCCAGAGGCUUAGACAGCAGGAAGUAGGGUAUAGAACCUAUACCACUUUGCUCUGUAAAUGAAUGAUCUUGAAUCCAGUAAUGAUCUUGGAUCUACUAAUAUAUGGGCCUGACUAGGGUAUUACCAAACUUGCAAAUAAAACACAACUUUGAAAACAUUUUUUUUUUCAGGAAUAUGUUAGCAGACCUACCUACGAAAUUCAUCACAAUUAUUUUUCUGUGAGAAAAGAUGACUUCUGCUGAUUUGUUACUGCCUAAGUCACUGUAUGAGACCACAUUUUAUUUAUUUAUGUUUCGUCAUGAAGUUUUCCGUUCAUGAAUCUUUAAAGUGACAAAAGAAAAUGUAGAAUGCUUUUUAAGCUGUACCUCUGCGAAUCAGUGAGGUAGCAGAUAAUAUACCAGAGGAAACAGAAAGGUUAGGCAAAUUACACCCUUAUAUAAUUUGAAAAAAGGAAG
rnacentral:lncRNA from 1 species